GGGCUUGUGGCUUAGUUUGGAUAAGGCGCUGGCCUCCGGUUAUAAUAAUGGGGGAGAGCCAGAGAUCGUGGGUUCGAAUCCCACCAAGCCCG
rnacentral:tRNA from 1 species